CUUUUGGUGUUAUAUCUAAAACUCAUAAACAAAUUUAAGAUCAUAUGGAUUUUCUCCUAAGUUUUCUUCUAGAAAUUUUAUAGUUUUGCAUUUUACAUUUAGGUCUAUGGUCCAUUUUGAGUUUAUUUUUGUGAAAAGUUUGUGCUGAGGUUCAUUUUCUUGCAUAUUGACAAACUCCUUCCUUGACCAAACUUUCUUCAGGCUCCUCUGAGCCCUAUUCUUGACUAACACUUGACCUUCCCCAGAUAGUGGUUUUUAAAACCAUUUUCCAAUAAAGACAGCUGUAUUCCUUUCUUUCCAAUUUGCACAGUUUUUAAUUCUUUUUAUUUUCUUAUUGUACUAACUAGGACUUCCAAUAUGAUUUUGAAAAGGAGUGGCUCCAAGUUCCUGAUCUUGGGAGAAAGCAUCCAGCCUAUCACCAUUAAGCAUGUUGUCACUUAAAUUGUGGCGAAUCCAAAUUCUCCACAGUGAAGCAGAAGAGGACAACUCUGACGCAGUCCUUCCGAGUGAGAACAAGCACCUUCCUCAUCUGAGGAAGACUAUAGAUAUUUCAUGUUACUCAUAGCUGAAUCUAACCCCUUAAUAAGUUUUCAACUAUGUUUGAUUAUGUGUUAAUAAAACCAUGUGGAAGAUUACUAAUGAUUGAUUCAAUUUCUUUAAUAUACAAAGUGUAUAUUAUCUAUCUCUCCUUGUGUGAAUUUUGAUAGUUUAUGUCUUUCAAGAAAUUGGUCCAUUUCACCUGAGUUGUCAAAUUUGUGGACCUAGAGUAUAGUAUAUGUCAUUUUAAUGUCCAUUAGUGAUGACGUCUCUUUUAUUUCUAAUAAUGAUAAUUCACGUCUUCUCUCUUUUUGACUUGGUUAGCCAGACCAGAGUUUGCUCUGGGGAGUUUUUAAAUUAUGAAUUCAAUUUUCUUAUCAACUACAGAGCUAUUCAGGCUAUCUAUUUCUUUUUGUGUGC
rnacentral:lncRNA from 1 species